CCGCACAAGCGGUGGAGCAUGUGGUUUAAUUCGAUGCAACGCGAAAAACCUUACCAGGCCUUGACAUCCAGAGAACUUUCUAGAGAUAGAUUGGUGCCUUCGGGAACUCUGUGACAGGUGUUGCAUGGCUGUCGUCAGCUCGUGUCGUGAGAUGUUGGGUUAAGUCCCGCAACGAGCGCAACCCUCGCCGUUAGUUGCCAGCAGGUUUGGCUGGGCACUCUAACGGGACCGCCGGUGUUAAGCCGGAGGAAGGUGGGGAUGACGUCAAGUCCUCAUGGCCCUUACGGGUAGGGCUACACACGUGCUACAAUGGCAGUGACAGAGAGCUAAUCUCAAAAAACUGUCUCAGUUCGGAUUGUCUUCUGCAACUCGAAGGCAUGAAGUUGGAAUCGCUAGUAAUCGCGGAUCAGCAUGCCACGGUGAAUACGUUCCCGGGCCUUGUACACACCGCCCGUCAC
rnacentral:rRNA from 1 species